ACAGAUCACACUGGUGUUAGACGACCCUGAUCAUGGCUAUCUGAAAUCCAAACAAAUGAAACAGCAGUAGCCAGGUAUUAUAACAGUGGAUCUACAAUAAUAGUUUCAAGAUGAAUGCUCAGCACUAUCCAAAUCUUACUGUGAUUGAUGACUCAGAGAUUCAGUCCAACGCUGACCACAUAGAAGAAAGAGCAGUGAUUGCAAGACUUCCACAGUCAGCAAGAAAUAUCAUAGAGCAUAUACAGUUAAGGGAUGCAAUCCAGGAAAGUUUCCAAAUUGAUAUCAAAUUAGAAGAUAUCUCACAAUACAAUUCGGACUACAUUAUCAUGCUACACUCACCCAAUACAAAAAACAUCCUGCUCAACAAAGGAUUUCUCAAAGUUGAUACCUUCACACUUCCACUGAUCCCAUGGGACAGAUAUUAUGGUUCAACAAUUAUGCCUCUUCCAACUUAUCUUACAGAUGCUGAACACCAAAAUCAAUAUUCACUCACGCGGUCACGCCACACAAUAGAGAACAGCUAACCAUUGAUAUCUUUGGACUUCCACCUCAUUUGUGCUGUGAAUUCAUAGUACGCCACCUGCUUAAGAAACUCUGUGUCAUCCAUGAAGUUACAUUUACACCAGCAAAUUUAGUGUACUCAGUCGAUGCCUAUGGAUCAGAAAUGUAUGUUCCCAAUAUUGCAUAUAUAGGUGUGAAAAAAACAACACAAAAUAGCAGUAUUAUCAGCAUGUGGCCAUUAUGGUAUGAAACCAUUACAGAAGACAUGCAUGGCUACCCUUGUGAACCAUACUAUUUACACAACACCGGCAACUUCGAAGGAGACUCUGACCUUGACAGUGAGCAUCGUAGAGAGGUCCACAAACAAUACUAUGAUCUUCAAGAUGGAAACAAUGAGAUGACCUCCCGAUUAAAAGAAUAUGUAACCAGAUUUUCAGACGAUUCAGAUUGGGAACCAUAUGCACCAUGACCAGGUAUCUUCAACACCAAGCAAGACAGCAUAUUUUGGCAACAAGCUUCAAGCAAUGAAGAACAAUAUUCUGGCAGUCUGGAUUAGACAUAUAUAUUACUACUAUGUAAUUGAUGCAUCUUGUACAUACAUGCAUGUAUCGUAUUUAUAUUAGUCUAAUGUACUUGGCUACUCAGAACAAGUAUCUAUUCAGUACUUCGGCGAACAUAUAAUGCAUCCAUCCUGUAAAUACAUGAAGAUCUAAUAUGUUUCCGUAUAUCUACCAUAUAUAAAUCUGUGCUUCUAUGCAUAUGUA